GACGAACGCUGGCGGCGUGCCUAAUACAUGCAAGUCGAACGCAGUGGGGACGGGUGCGUAACACGUGGGUAACCUCCCAUCAGAGGGGAUAACACUUGGAAACAGGUGCUAAACCGAUACUGAUGGAUGGACCCGCGGUCCAUUAGCUCGUUGGUGAGGUAACGGCUCACCAAGGCCACGAUGCAUAGCCGACCUGAGAGGGUGAGCGGCCAAAGUGGGACUGUGACACGGCCCAUAAUCCUACGGGAGGCAGCAGUAGGGAAUCUUCGGCAAUGGACGAAAGUCUGACCGAGCAACACCGCGUGAGUGAAGAAGGUUUUCGGAUCGUAAAACUCUGUUGUUAGAGAAGCGGUAUCUAACCAGAAAGCCACGGCUAACUACGUGCCAGCAGCCGCGGUAAUUC
rnacentral:rRNA from 1 species